rnacentral:rRNA from 1 species
GAUGAACGCUGGCGGCGUGCCUAAUACAUGCAAGUCGAGCGAACAGACGAGGAGCUUGCUCCUCUGACGUUAGCGGCGGACGGGUGAGUAACACGUGGAUAACCUACCUAUAAGACUGGGAUAACUUCGGGAAACCGGAGCUAAUACCUGCUAAUAUAUUGAACCGCAUGGUUCAAUAGUGAAAGACGGUUUUGCUGUCACUUAUAGAUGGAUCCGCGCCGCAUUAGCUAGUUGGUAAGGUAACGGCUUACCAAGGCAACGAUGCGUAGCCGACCUGAGAGGGUGAUCGGCCACACUGGAACUGAGACACGGUCCAGACUCCUACGGGAGGCAGCAGUAGGGAAUCUUCCGCAAUGGGCGAAAGCCUGACGGAGCAACGCCGCGUGAGUGAUGAAGGUCUUCGGAUCGUAAAACUCUGUUAUUAGGGAAGAACAAAUGUGUAAGUAACUAUGCACGUCUUGACGGUACCUAAUCAGAAAGCCACGGCUAACUACGUG